rnacentral:rRNA from 1 species
UACGUAGGGGGCAAGCGUUGUCCGGAUUUAUUGGGCGUAAAGAGCGUGUAGGCGGCCAGACAGGUCUGUUGUGAAAACUAGAGGCUUAACCUCUAGACGUCGAUGGAAACCGUCUGGCUAGAGUCCGGAAGAGGAGAAUGGAAUUCCUGGUGUAGCGGUGAAAUGCGCAGAUAUCAGGAAGAACACCCGUGGCUAAGGCGGUUCUCUAGUACGGUACUGACGCUGAGGCGCGAAAGCGUGGGGAGCGAACAGG